ensembl:lncRNA
UCUACGGACCGUUUGCUGACGGACUUCCCUGGGCCUGCUACCUGAGACCUGCUGCUUCCUCCCUGACCUGCACCCUCUCGCUGCCCAAGACCGGCCUCGCUGCUCCUGCCCUUCGGCCUCGGACCGUCGGAACAUCGUGCAACGGGACUGCUGCCGGAUCCUGGUGACUGGAUGUCAUGAUUUCUUUCCAUAUCACAAGAUGUGGGGAACAGUCCAAGAUAAGCUUACAAUUUUCUUUCCUGCUGGCUGCAAUGGCAAUAAUCCGAAGUCAAACACUGCUGAUUAAGACUUUCUGCUUCAAUGCUCUUUGUUCAUUCAUUGUCAAAGAGCUUCUUGAUGGCCACAUGCAGAAGAAAAGUACUAUGAGGAAGCUUUCUAAAAAAGCAAAGGAGUACAUUCAGAACUGAAUCUGAUAUAUACUCAGAGGAUUAUGAAAAGUUGAGAACCAGAGCUGAAUUCUGCCCAGCUCUCUCAUAUGGGUCCAAAUGAAUUCUUUCCUCAAGCAAAACAUCCAUAGUAUGUUUAAAUGGAAGACAAACUAACCAGCUGCUUUCUUGGUAUUACGCACUUGGAGAACAUACCAAAAUCUACAUCUCUGCACUACUUUGGGAAAAUACUAUUGCCUCCUCAUAAAACUAGAUAUCCAUGCUGAAGAACAGUUUAGCAGAGGAUAUUCAAGAAAGACUGAGACCCCUCACAAGAAAGAAUUUAUCCCUCAUAAUCUUGCCUAAAGUCUUGCUCAGACCAGAAGCAUGGAAAUGUCAAAUGCUUCUUCUUCCAUGUGGAUGCAACUGGAGUUAAGGCAUGCUUUCUGCUCUACUAACCCUCCAACACCGCCAGCAAAACAGAAAGGACUACAAAGGCACUAAUUUUCCACUUUCUGUCUAAGGAGAGUUUGAGAGAGGAAGGAACAAAUGAAAAGAAAAAAAGUCUGUACCUUACCAGAUUACAAACUCUUUGUAUGUUAAUACCGAGUAAAUGUUGAGGAGCUUAUUUUGAGGAAGAGCAAUAAAUAAACUGUGAAAGAGCAG